rnacentral:rRNA from 1 species
UACGAAGGUGCAAGCGUUACUCGGAAUUACUGGGCGUAAAGCGUGCGUAGGUGGUUCGUUAAGUCUGAUGUGAAGCCCUGGGCUCAACCUGGGAAUGGCAUUGGAAACUGGCGACCUAGAGUGCGGUAGAGGGUAGUGGAAUUCCCGGUGUAGCAGUGAAAUGCGUAGAGAUCGGGAGGAACAUCCGUGGCGAAGGCGACUACCUGGACCAGCACUGACA